rnacentral:rRNA from 1 species
GUGCCAGCCGCCGCGUAAUUCCAGCUCCAAUAGCGUAUAUUAAAGUUGUUGUGGUUAAAAAGCUCGUAGUUGAACCUUGGGCCUGGCUGGCCGGUCCGCCUCACCGCGUGCACUGGUCCGGCCGGGCCUUUCCCUCUGUGGAACCCCAUACCCUUCACUGGGCGAGAAAAAGGAAACAGGACAUUUACUUUGAAAAAAUUAGAGUGCUCCAGGCAGGCCUAUGCUCGAAUACAUUAGCAUGGAAUAAUAAAAUAGGACGCGCGGUUCUAUUUUGUUGGUUUAUAGGACCGCCGUAAUGAUUAAUAGGGACAGUCGGGGGCAUCAGUAUUCAACUGUCUGAGGUGAAAUUCUUGGAUCAGUUGAAGACUAACUACUGCGAAAGCUUUUGCCAAGGAUGUUUUCAUUAAUCAGGAACGAAAGUUAGGGGAUCGAAGACGAUCAGAUACCGUCGUAGUCUUAACCAUAAACUAUGCCGACUAGGGAUCGGACGGUGUUAUUCAUGACCCGUUCGGCACCUUACGAGAAAUCAAAGUGCUUGGGCUCCAGGGGGAGUAUGGUCGCAAGGCUGAAACUUAAAGAAAUUGACGGAAGGGCACCACCGAGGGGGUGCGCCUGCUGUCUUAAUUUGACUCAACACGGGGAAACUCACCAGGUCCAGACACAAUAAGGAUUGACAGAUUGAGAGCUCUUUCUUGAUUUUGUGGGUGGUGUGCAUGGCCGUUCUAGGUGGUGGGUGACUUGUCUGCUUAAUGCGAUAACGAACGAGACCUUAACCUGCUAAUAGCCCGCAUUGCUCCGGCAGUGCGCUGGCUUACUUAGAGGAC